ACGGGAGACACACGGCGGGUGCUAACGUCCGUCGUGAAGAGGGAAACAACCCAGACCGCCAGCUAAGGUCCCAAAGUCAUGGUUAAGUGGGAAACGAUGUGGGAAGGCCCAGACAGCCAGGAUGUUGGCUUAGAAGCAGCCAUCAUUUAAAGAAAGCGUAAUAGCUCACUGGUCGAGUCGGCCUGCGCGGAAGAUGUAACGGGGCUAAACCAUGCACCGAAGCUGCGGCAGCGACGCUUAUGCGUUGUUGGGUAGGGGAGCGUUCUGUAAGCCUGCGAAGGUGUGCUGUGAGGCAUGCUGGAGGUAUCAGAAGUGCGAAUGCUGACAUAAGUAACGAUAAAGCGGGUGAAAAGCCCGCUCGCCGGAAGACCAAGGGUUCCUGUCCAACGUUAAUCGGGGCAGGGUGAGUCGACCCCUAAGGCGAGGCCGAAAGGCGUAGUCGAUGGGAAACAGGUUAAUAUUCCUGUACUUGGUGUUACUGCGAAGGGGGGACGGAGAAGGCUAUGUUGGCCGGGCGACGGUUGUCCCGGUUUAAGCGUGUAGGCUGGUUUUCCAGGCAAAUCCGGAAAAUCAAGGCUGAGGCGUGAUGACGAGGCACUACGGUGCUGAAGCAACAAAUGCCCUGCUUCCAGGAAAAGCCUCUAAGCAUCAGGUAACAUCAAAUCGUACCCCAAACCGACACAGGUGGUCAGGUAGAGAAUACCAAGGCGCUUGAGAGAACUCGGGUGAAGGAACUAGGCAAAAUGGUGCCGUAACUUCGGGAGAAGGCACGCUGAUAUGUAGGUGAAGUCCCUCGCGGAUGGAGCUGAAAUCAGUCGAAGAUACCAGCUGGCUGCAACUGUUUAUUAAAAACACAGCACUGUGCAAACACGAAAGUGGACGUAUACGGUGUGACGCCUGCCCGGUGC
rnacentral:rRNA from 1 species